rnacentral:rRNA from 1 species
UACGGAGGGGGGCUAGCGUUGUUCGGAAUUACUGGGCGUAAAGCGCACGUAGGCGGCUUUGUAAGUUAGAGGUGAAAGCCUGGGGCUCAACUCCAGAACUGCCUUUAAGACUGCAUCGCUUGAAUCAUGGAGAGGCGGGUGGAAUUCCGAGUGUAGAGGUGAAAUUCGUAGAUAUUCGGAAGAACACCAGUGGCGAAGGCGGCCCGCUGGACA